rnacentral:lncRNA from 1 species
GCAGCCUGGUUUCUGAUGAUUGCAGGACAACCCCAGAGGAAUGAGCUCAUGUGUCCCUUUCGGCAAGGCCAAGCAGUGGAAUGUGAAGCUGUGAGUCUUCGUUACAGUCACAGUGGAGGUGGGCUUUAAGGAGAGAGAUUCAAGAGAAUAAUAUAACGGCUGUAAAGAUCUUCAUACGUGAAGCUGAAAGUGAUGGAGCAACUUCAGACAGUUCACAGCUAAACAUCCUCCCUUUUGGAAGGUAUCCAACCCAAACGCAAGAGGAAAUCCUUGAAGCUGGUGGAAAAAUUCCCAUUAAAUCCAAAGGAGGAUUUAUCAGCACGUAUGCUUUCCUGACCCAGAUUCCUUUGACUGCGAAGGAAGUUGAUUCCACCCUGCCUUGUAUUGAUGGAGAUGGAAAACCAUGGAUUAUCCUGCUCUACAACAAUCCUUUUAUACUGUUAUCAUGUUUCUGUGACACUUCUCUUUUGUAGAAUGAAUGAAGACAAUUCUUUCAACUUUUUCUAAGAGGUUGAGGAUUUUUUAAUAUUUUGUUACUUUAUUUCUCUCCUCUGGACAGUUUCCCUUUUGUCUAGGGCACUGUUUAAGUGAAAUGUCCACAGCAAAAUGCUGUUGCACAACAAAAACUCCCCAGAAAAUAAAAUAAGCUGUAUAAAAGGAAUGAAUAGGUAG